rnacentral:rRNA from 1 species
CCCUAUGGGGUGCAGCCGGCGGAAUGAUAAGUCAGUGGUGAAAUCCUACGGCUCAACUGUAGAACUGCCAUUGAUACUGUUGUUCUUGAGUACACUUGGAGUGGGCGGAAUGUGUCAUGUAGCGGUGAAAUGCUUAGAUAUGACACAGAACACCGAUCGCGAAGGCAGCUCACUAAGUUGUAACUGACGCUCAGGCACGAAAGCGUGGGGAUCAAACA